UAGAAAAGUCAUAAUAUAGUUAUAAAGAGCUUUUGCUGGUUAACGAAGUAAUAUGAGAAUAAUUAAUUAGAAGUACAAAGCGCCCCUAUACAAUGUAUAAGUAAAUUAAAAAAGAGAUAAUAAACUACGUAGUAAAGUAUCUAAUAAAAAAUAUAUUUGUAUCCCCUCCCUGCCUACUAACUACAAAGUCAGUAUGGCAGGUACUUUGGCCUAACUUCUCUACGAAGUACGAUGUAAAAGUUAAAGCUACUUUGUACUUCGUAGGAGAAGGAAACGGAAAGGCAGGCACCUUCGGAUAAGUUCAGGGUCGGAAAAGAGGUGAAUCGAACACCCAGGUGUUAAUACACAAUAUGUAGCAAAUAUUUCGCCCUACCUAUAGCAACUUUUCCUGUAUAUUUAUUAUAUAAUACAUAUUUAAGUUGUAGCAAAUCCCUCUUAAAGUAGGAUUCCAUCGGGGGGGAUUAGAGCAUCCUGACUUCGUAGGCAGAAAGAUAGCUCCGUCCUUGAUUAUAAACCAGGGGGUGCGUUUGUCCUGACACCAAACUUAUCCGAAGGCGCCUUCUCCGAAGGCGCCAAGGCGGGAUAUGACGGCGCCUACAAAGUCGUAAGUGUAAAAAAAAAUCUAUAAUCUAGACUAUCUAAUCUAGACCACGAAUUAGAUCGGAUUCGAACCGACACCUACUUCCGUGACAAGGAAGUCCUCGACCAAUUAAGUUACUAAUUCUAAGUGUUACUAUUACUAUUGCACACUAACAACAUUAAUUCCUUUCUUAUUAAUUUAUAUUUAACUCUCUAAGUUAAGUAUAUUUUUAUACACAUAAACUAAGAUAACUAAACAUAAAAUAAAAAUAACACAUAAAACGAAGUUUUGCUCCCAUAUCCCUAAAAGGGAUCAGGAUCCAGCUUAA
rnacentral:tRNA from 1 species